GUUGAAUACAACAUCUUUGUGGUAUAUGGUGUAUGCGAUGUAUAUGGGAGCAAUUUCAGGUAAGUUUGUUUUUCCAUAGCAUGUUCACUUCAAGGGGUUAAGGAAGUAGGCUACAAAGAAGGUUAAGGUUGCUUGGAAAGCAUUGGGAGAUUAAUGCACAUGUGAGGCAAAUUGCCAUGCUUCUCUAGAGCUCCUAGAGAGUAUUUGAUUGAUAAAGGGACACUAUAGUCACCAGAACUACAGCUUAUUGAAUUUGUUCUGGUGAGUAGAAUCAUUACCUUCAGGCCUUUUGCUGUAAAC